GAUGAACGCUGGCGGCGUGCCUAAUACAUGCAAGUCGAGCGAACAGAUAAGGAGCUUGCUCCUUUGACGUUAGCGGCGGACGGGUGAGUAACACGUGGGUAACCUACCUAUAAGACUGGGAUAACUUCGGGAAACCGGAGCUAAUACCGGAUAAUAUUUCGAACCGCAUGGUUCGAUAGUGAACGAUGGUUUUGCUAUCACUUAUAGAUGGACCCGCGCCGUAUUAGCUAGUUGGUAAGGUAACGGCUUACCAAGGCGACGAUACGUAGCCGACCUGAGAGGAUGAUCGGCCACACUGGAACUGAGACACGGUCCAGACUCCUACGGGAGGCAGCAGUAGGGAAUCUUGCACAAUGGGCGAAAGCCUGACGGAGCAACGCCGCGUGAGUGAUGAAGGUCUUCGGAUCGUAAAGCUCUGUUAUUAGGGAAGAACAUACGUGUAAGUAACUGUGCACGUCUUGACGGUACCUAAUCAGAAAGCCACGGCUAACUACGUG
rnacentral:rRNA from 1 species